UCUUUUUGCCAUUUCUUGGGCCGCUCCCGUGGCAUAUGGAGGUUCCCAGGCUAGGGGUCGAAUCAGAGCUGUAGCCACCGGCCUACUCCACAGCCACAGUCACAGCCACAGCCACGCGGGAUCCAAGCCGCGUCUGCAACCUAUACCACAGCUCACGGCAAUGCCGGAUCCUUAAUCCACUGACCAAGGCCAGGGAUCAAACCCGAAACCUCAUUGUUCCUAGUCGGAUUCGUUAACAACUGAGCCACGACGGGAACUCCAAAAUCAUCUUAUUUUUUAAAGAGACUUUAAAAAACUUCUUUCAUACUUAAUUUUUUAGAGAACCAUCCUAUUUCCAAAGGUCAGCAUCCUAUAAAAAUAUUUCCAAAUUGCCCUCUGUCCAGCUAGAGCACUCCUGUGUUUUGGGCCCACAGAUGAUCUGUUCCCAACCUCUCAACCAGAGGAAGUAACGUUCUAUUGAGGGGAGCAAGCCAAGUAAACAGGAGUCACUAUAUAGGCAAUAGGGUGGUGACAGAGGUGAGUUCAGGGUGAGUCAGAGGCUGAGAACGGGCGGCUACCUCAGCUGAUAGGUGGGAAGCCAGGAAGGCUUCCUGAAGAAGGUGACAACAGAGCUGAUCCUGGAGGCCUGAAUGAGAACAGGUUCCAGACAUAAAAAUGAUGGCAGCAACUUUUUUUUCCUUGUUUCUUUCUAGGUUUGGGACACUGCUAUUAACAACCUGACAAACAGUGGGCACAUGUGAUGCCCUUAUCUCUCUCUUUUUUUUUUUUUUUUUGUCUUUUGUCUUUUUAGGGCUGCACCCACGGUGUAUGGAGGUUCCCAGGCUAGGGGUCUAAUCAGAGCUGUAGCUGCCAGCCUACGCCAGGGCCACUGCAACACCAGAUCCAAACCGCAUCUGCAACCUACACCACAGCUCACAGCAACACCGGAUCCUUAACCCACUGAACAAGGCCAGAGAUCAAACUUGCAACCUCAUCCUAAUUAGAUUCAUUUCCACUGCACCAGGAUGGGAACUCCUGUGUGUGUGUGUGUGUGUGUGUGUGUGUGUGUGUGUGUGUGUUUGCGUGCGCAUGCGCGCGCGCACGCUUUUUAGGGCUGCACCUGUGGCUUAUGGAAGUUCUCAGGCUAGGGGUUUAAUCAGAGCUGUAGCUGCUGGCCUAUACCACAGCCACAGCCAGGCCAGAUCUGAGCCACAUCUACGACCUACACCAUAGCUCACGGCAAUACCGGAUCCUUAACACAUUGAGCAAGGCCAGGGAUCAAACCUGCAACCUCAUGGUUCCUAGUUGGAUUUGUUUCUGCUGCACCACAGUGGGAACUCCAAUGCCUUUAUCUUAUUUAAUGAGCACAAGAACCCUAUGAAUCAGGUACCACUGUUAUCCUCAUUUGCCAAAAGUAGAGAAUGAGGCACAGAAAAUGUGCAUAACUUGUCCAAGGGCACAGAAUCAAUCUGUGCCAUGGAACCCACCAGGCCUGCUUGUAAGCCCUACUCUAUCUAGAGCAUUCUGUGGAAGGACAGAACAGCGCAUCCCAAGACCAGAAGUCAGGAGAGAGCAAGGUGUGUUCAUAACAGGUGGUCGGGUCUGAAGCUUGGGAUGUACUGACAAAACGAUGUGAGGCCAGGAAAUGGCCUGCUGGUCAGGAGGCAGGAAGGGGAUGGGAUAAAACUGAACCGCGCUAGGGAGCUUGGGCUUUUUCACGCGGACUAGAGGGAAGCAAGGAAAGAUUUCAAGACCGGCAGAACUCAUACUCCUCUCCCCUCCUCGCAUUCUACAGAAAAGAAAACUGAGGCCCAGAGCACUUACUUUCCUUACCCAAGGCCACGUAGCCCAGCUCUGGGGCUAUUUAAACCCAGACUCCAGACCUGUACCAGGACAGGGCCUCACCCCAGGGAGGGACGAGUGGAAAAGGGAGAAGGCCCAGAACUGGCUUCCAAGACUUUACACUGAAGAUUAAAGAGUUAUCUGAACAAGGGAAAUUAAUCUGUCCCGGUUCCGUUCCCUUGCACGCCCUGGGUGGACCCAGGUUGUUCUUUUGGCCUCACCCUCCCCACCCACCAGCUUCUCUCAAAGCAAGAGGCUGGGAGAUGACUGUUCCUUAGAAACCCUGGGUCUGGGCUUCCAAGGGCCCAGCAACUAAGGAAAGGCAGCCAAUCAGAUGGGCUGGAGCCAGGCCUUUGAAACCACCACCGGUGGUAAAGAAAGUCACUGGAAACCAAAGCAGCCUGGUCUGUGAGAGGCCUGUCAGGGCAGGGCUGGCAGCCCUGCAGAGACAAUCCCUAUCUCUGCUCCCAGGUUAGAGCCUGCCACUGAUAGUGUGGUUGCCCGGGCAAAGCAGCCAAGGCGGUUAGAGUCGGCCUUGUUCUAACUUGAUUGCAGAGCAGAGAGGGAGGGGGUCUCACUGCCUUCAGAGGCCCGGGGCUGGUGGGCCUGUGCUAAUUUGCACGGGUGAAUUCAAACCAUUUGGUUCAGGUGAUGAGAGGAUGCUGAAAGCAUAUUCCAGAAGGCCUACCUCACACCCGGUGCUAUUCCAGGAUGCAGGCAGGUGAUGUCCCUGAUCACAGCAGACUCAUAUCCUAGUAGGGGGACAAAGACCAUGGACAUAAUAAAUAAUAAAGUAAAUAAAUAACAAAAAUUUCAGGGAGUUCCCAUUGUGGCACACUGGAAAAGAAUCUAAGUAUCCAUUAGGAUGAGGGUUCCACCCAGAGUUGCUCUGAGCUGUGGUGUAGAUCACAAAUGCGGCUCGGAUCCCCAGUUGCUAUGGCGUAGGCUGGCAUCUGCAGCUCUGAUUCGACCCCUACCCGCUAGGGGGAAUUUCAUAUGCUCCAGGUUCGGCCCUAAGAAGCAAAUAAUAAUAAUAAUUAUAAUAAAUAAUUUCCGAAACAGUGGAGGUGAUUCUGGACCAGAGUGUUUCAAUCUUGGCACUACUGACAUUUGAGGCUGGAGAAUGUUGGCUAUGAGGGGAUGUCCUGUGCACCGGAGGAUGUUUCAUGGCACCCCUGGCUCCAACCAUUAGACACCAGCAGUGACCCCCUCUCCUUCUCCCAAAUAUCAUAACCCAAAAUGUCUCCAUAUAUGGCUAAAUAUCCUCGGGGGGGGGGUGGCAAAAAAAUCACCCCUGAUGACUACCACUGCUCUAGACUGGAGUUUUUGCUGAAAUUAUGCACAAUUCAUGUGCAUAAUCUAAAAUUUUCUAGUAUGUUAAACAAUUAAAAUAUGCAGGUGAAGUAAAUUUUAAAUUUACCUUAUUUUACCCAGGAUACCUAAACUAGUAUCAUUUCAACAUGCCACAAAGAAAAAAAGCUAUUAAAGAGAUGACAUAUUUUAUUCUGAGUCUUCAAAAUCAGGUAUAUAUUUUAUACUCAUGGCACACCUCAAUUCGGAGAGCCCAAUGCCUGAGUGAGCGAGUUCAAGUGCACUCUGUCCCAGGCUCAUCAGAAGAACAGCCUGAAACUGGGGCCUCCUUUAUCUGAAUGUGGUCCCAGACCAGCACAAGCAGCAUCAGCUGUGAUCAGGUUGGAAAUGAGGAUCCCUGAUGCUGAGUCAGAGUUUGCCUCUUAACAAGGUGCCCAGGUGAUCUGAGAGCUUAUUGAAGUGUGAGAAAAUCAUAGUGCCCGCAUGCCAGGCACCUUGGGGGAGACUGAAGCCCAUGAAAUGAAAUGGCUCAGCUGAUGUUACAUCUUCCUGAUAACUAACUCAGGAGCCCCAGUUUUCCCAUCCACAAAAUGGGGUUGAAGAGCACACUUUCUCUGGGGUUGGGCUUGUACUUAACUGAGUGUCAGCUUCACCACACCUGCCCCCUCUCCCCUCUGCCUACUGGAGCCCCUCUACUCACAAGAGACUCCCUUCUAGGCUAAAUAGGAGGCAGUUCCUGCUGCCAGGACGCUGGCCCAAGAGGGAGACCAUGAACCCACCUGCAGGGCCCACUGAGGUGGGGGAAACCACGUGGAGGCCCCUGAGGGGCUUGGGCAGGGGGUGAGGCUUCACACCAAACAGGGCACAUGGAUAUGUGCAGAACCACUUGCCUGAUCUGAUACACAUUCAGCUGUCAGGAGGGAGUGUGUGCGAUAGGGGUAGGGGUGGGGGUGGGGACUGGAGGGUGGGGGAGAACCAAGCUCUCUCAGCUCCGUCACCUAUAUGGACUUCCUGUCCCCAAGGCCAGAACAGUAUCUGACACAGUCAUUAAGGAGCUGGAAGCUCGCUGUUUUUCAAGCCCUCCACCCCCAGCACCUGUCCCACCUAGGGAAGGCUACAUUCCGGGUCUCACCCCUGUGAUAACCCCCACCCCCACAGCUCAGGAUCUGGGUAAAGCCCAGCUCCCUGCCCCUGGCCCAGCAUUGUCAACUCCUCCUGAUUUCUAGUUACAACACGUCCAAAUUAAAGGAGCUUAUCUCAAAACCCCAAGGCUGUCUUGCCUGGUGCUCACUUCCUUUCCCUUUCAUCAGGCCUCUGGGCGGGCUCCCCCCCAACCCCCUGCCUCCUGGCAGGGAGGGGUGACCGGGAGGUCAGGCAAGGGCCCUGCUGAGAGAGGGUGGCCUGCACCUGUCCCACCUCAGGCAGAGGGGGACUUUCAAGCAGAGAUCAGUGCAUCGGGAGCCUUGAGAUGGGGGUGGAAGGAAUCCCAUUCGCCUUGAUUUUUGCCUCCCUGGUCACUAAACAGAAUCUGAUCUGGGGCUGCCCUGUGCUGCCCCAGGGCUUCCCGGCUGUGGAUUCCUCUAGGGGUGACUUAUUUAGGAGGGUGAGUGCUGCAAAAAUAAAUAAAGGCCCAAUGUUUAUCCUGCCCCCCCACCACCACUGUGAUUCAGAAAUAUCACCCUAGACCAG
rnacentral:lncRNA from 1 species